rnacentral:rRNA from 1 species
GUACACUCCUACGGGAGGCAGCAGUGGGGAAUAUUGGACAAUGGGCGCAAGCCUGAUCCAGCCAUGCCGCGUGAGUGAUGAAGGCCCUAGGGUUGUAAAGCUCUUUCACCGGUGAAGAUAAUGACGGUAACCGGAGAAGAAGCCCCGGCUAACUUCGUGCCAGCAGCCGCGGUAAUACGAAGGGGGCUAGCGUUGUUCGGAUUUACUGGGCGUAAAGCGCACGUAGGCGGACUAUUAAGUCAGGGGUGAAAUCCCGGGGCUCAACCCCGGAACUGCCUUUGAUACUGGUAGUCUUGAGUUCGAGAGAGGUGAGUGGAAUUCCGAGUGUAGAGGUGAAAUUCGUAGAUAUUCGGAGGAACACCAGUGGCGAAGGCGGCUCACUGGCUCGAUACUGACGCUGAGGUGCGAAAGCGUGGGGAGCAAACAGGAUUAGAAACCCCGGUAGUCCCAUGAU